rnacentral:rRNA from 1 species
CCUACGGGUGGCAGCAGUGAGGAAUAUUGGUCAAUGGACGAGAGUCUGAACCAGCCAAGUAGCGUGAAGGAUGACGGCCCUAUGGGUUGUAAACUUCUUUUAUACAGGGAUAAAACGAGGCACGUGUGCCCUUUUGCAAGUACUUUAUGAAUAAGGAUCGGCUAACUCCGUGCCAGCAGCCGCGGUAAUACGGAGGAUUCGAGCGUUAUCCGGAUUUAUUGGGUUUAAAGGGAGCGUAGAUGGGUUGUUAAGUCAGAUGUGAAAGUUUGCGGCUCAACCGUAAAAUUGCAAUUGAUACUGGCAGUCUUGAGAAUAGUUGAGGUAGGCGGAAUUUGUGGUGUAGCGGUGAAAUGCUUAGAGAUCACGAAGAACCCCGAUUGCGAAGGCAGCUUACUAAACUGUGACUGACAUUGAUGCUCGAAAGUGUGGGUAUCAAACAGGAUUAGAUACCCCAGCAGUC